CAAACAAAAGACAGAGUUAAGCAAUCCUGUAAAUAAAGUUGUACCCUUAAUUAUAAGGGGGACUGGGAUGAAGGUCUAUAUUAUUAUGCCACUUAAGAGCCCCAGUUGUGGACCAGGAUCAAGGUCUGGUAGGCACAAUGCAAACUAAGAAUACAGUCCCUACCCCAAAGAGUUUAGGAUUGCCUAAACCUUUCCAUCCUAAGAUCCUGUUCUCACUUAACUUUGCUAACCUUUUGGGCUUGAAUUUUCCAUGUUGGGGUUUUGCUUGGGCUGUUGUGGUUUUUUUUUUGGUGGGGAAAGUUACAGCUAACACAGUUUAGCUGUUUCUGAAACUGUGGUUUAGGAAAGAUUCUUAGUUUCUCAGUGGAACAGUUUUAGCACCUCUAUAGUGUGGAAUAAGGACUUGAAACUUUGCAGGUGGUGGGGAUCAGAGAGGUGUCUGAUGUUGUCCUGGAGACAUUUCACCCACUCUUGAUUGUGUUAUAGUAGGGCUGUCAAGCGAUUAAUCGUGCUGUUAAUAAUAGAAAAGCAUUUAUUUAAAUAUUUUUGGAUGUUUUCUACAUUUUCAACUAUAUUUAUUUCACUUACAACACAGAAUACAAAGUGUAUGGUGCUCAUUUUAUAUUUGUUUUUGAUUACAAAUAUUUGCACUGUAAAAAAAUAGUAUUUUUCAAUUCACCUAAUAGAAGUACUGUAGUGCAAUCUCUAUCAUGAAAGUUAACUGACAAAUGUAGAAUUGGGACCAAAAAAAAACAACCGCAUUCAAAAAUGUAAAACUUCAGAGCCUACAGGUCCACCCUGUCCUACUUCUUGUUCAGCCAAUCACUAAGACAAACAGGUUUGUUUACAUUUGCAGGAGAUAAUGCUGCCCGCUUCUUGUUUACAAUGUCACCUGAAAGUGAGACCAGACAUUCACAUGGCACAGUUGUAGCUGGCGUUACAAGAUAUUUAUGUGCCAGAUGCGCUAAAGAUUCAUAUGUCCCAUCAUUCCAGAGGACAUGCGUCCAUGCUGAUGAUGGGUUCUGCUGGAUAACAAUCCAAAGCAGUGCAGACUAAUGCAUGUUCAUUUUCAUCAUCUGAGUCAGAUGCCAUCAGCAGAAGCAUCAUCAGCAUGGAAGCAUGUCCUCUGGAAUUGUGACUGAAGCAUGAAGGGGCAUACAAAUGUUUAGUAUCACUGGCAUGUAAAUACCUUGCAAUGGUGGCUACAAAAGUGCCAUGCGAACACCUUGUCUCACAUUCAGGUGAUGUAAAUAAGAAGAGGGCAGCAUUAUUUCCUGUAAAUGUAAACAGACUUUUGUCUUAGCGACUGGCUGAACAAGAAGUUAGACUGAGUGGACUUGUAGGCUCAAGUCUUACAUUGUUUUAUUUUUGAAUGCAGUUUUUUUUGUUCCCAAUUCUACAUUUGUAAGUUCAACUUUCAUGAUAGAGAUUGUACUACAGCACUUGUAUUAGGUGAAUUGAAAAAUACUAUUGUUUAGUGCAAAUAUAUAUAGAAUACAAGGUGUACAGUGCUCACUUUCAAUUUGUGUUGUAAUUGAAAUAAAUAUUUGAAAAUGUAGAAAAACAUCCACAAUAUUCAACACAUUUCAAUUGAUAUUUUAUUCUUUAACAGUGCAAUUAAAACGGAUUGUGAUUCA